UUCCUCCCCUCUUCAUGUCCAAAGAGUUGGACAUCCAUCUGGAAAAGAUCCAAGGCGUGGUGAUGCCUGGAACUGAAGGCUGCAGGACAUCUUCGACAGGCUACUACUCCAACUUUAGAAGGAGUUCUGAAGUACUUUCAAAUUAGAUAGAGAUCUAAUUUUUAGAGCAUAGAUUCACAAAGAGAAGACAUUCUAGAUCUUGCCUAAGUGGAUACCGGUAG
rnacentral:lncRNA from 1 species